UCCUACGGGAGGCAGCAGUGGGGAAUAUUGCGCAAUGGGGGGAACCCUGACGCAGCGACGCCGCGUGGAUGAAGAAGGCUUUCGGGUUGUAAAGUCCUAAGAAUGGGGAAGAAGAAGACGGUACCCAUAGAAAAGCCCCGGCUAACUACGUGCCAGCAGCCGCGGUAAUA
rnacentral:rRNA from 1 species